UUUAUGUCUAGCAUGCGAGUCAUUGUAGCAUACAAGGCAGACGGCUCAGUAACGCGUAGUCAAUCUACCCUAUGGACGGGAAUAACCUCGGGAAACUGAGAAUAAUGCCCGAUAGAACAUUAUACCUGGAACGGUUUAUGUUUCAAAUGAUUUAUCGCCAUAGGAUGGGACUGCGGCCUAUCAGUUUGUUGGUGAGGUAAUGGCCCACCAAGACUAUUACAGGUACGGGCUCUGAGAGGAGUAGCCCGGAGAUGGGUACUGAGACACGGACCCAGGUCCUAUGGGGCGCAGCAGGCGAGAAAACUUUGCAAUGUGCGAAAGCACGACAAGGUUAAUCCGAGUGGUUUCUGCUAAAGAAACCUUUUGUCAGUCCUAGAAACACUAACGAAUAAGGGGUGGGCAAGUUCUGGUGUCAGCCGCCGCGGUAAAACCAGCACCUCAAGUGGUCAGGAUGAUUAUUGGGCCUAAAGCAUCCGUAGCCCGUUUUGUAAGUUUUCGGUUAAAUCCAUGCGCUUAACGUAUGGGCUGCCGGGAAUACUGCAUAACUAGGAAGUGGGAGAGGUAGACGGUACUCGGGAGGAAGGGGUAAAAUCCUUUGAUCUCUUGAUGACCACCUGUGGCGAAGGCGGUCUACCAGAACACGUUCGACGGUGAGGGAUGAAAGCUGGGGGAGCAACCCGGGAUUAGAUACCCGGGUAGUCCCCAGCUGUAACUAUGCAACUUCAGUGAUGCAUGCCUUGUUGCCAUGUAGUGCUGCAGGGUAAGC
rnacentral:rRNA from 1 species